UUAAUCUUUUAAAUUAAUUAAAACUAACUCACCUGGAAAACAAUUCCUUCUACGGUGAAGAAAUAUAAUAAAAAUCGCGUUGCUUGCAAUUAGACGUGCUUAGUUUGGUCAAAUCAAGUUACACUUUAAAAGAAGUGUUCACGUGUAGUUUAUUCCCCUUAUUUUUUUCUCCCGAUGCAUCUGAAUAAAUGGCCUGAAUGUUAACGUUAUUGCCUGAAAAAUACAAUCUUGAAAGGUGAAUGAAGCAACGACGGUGGUACAUUGAAGAUUUUACGUCCCAGUUAUAGGUCAGCAGAUUAUUCGAGUAAAAUUCCGUACUACCAAGUUUCCGUUUUAGUGCAAAGAAUUUUAAAUUAUGUAAUUGCACGAUAAAUGGGCGCUAUAAUUAUGCUCCGUAUGGCUACAGAUAGAUUUACCAAUUUUUUUGUUCGGAAGAUCUCUUUUUUGGUCGAGGCAGCACUUUUCUUCAAAGGGGAUGACUCAUUAGAAGUGGGAUCAUCUUCUAGAGUCGUUGCUGUUCCUCUUGACUACGACAACGAACAGCGGGGAGAGUGGUGACUUGUUCUCCUUCAUAGUUUGGAAGCCCUCUUGGUCUUCAUCUAAACGCGGAGAUGUUUCGACAACGAUCUGGAUGGCGUCUUGGGUUCGAUUCUAUCUCUAUGGAAGGUGCCGGAAUCGCCUCUAUGGCACCGGCUAAGAAGGGAACGGUGUUAACACGAAAAAUGGAGAAUCCGUUGAGAAAAGCAAACCUAAUUGCAUUAUCAAAAAUAGUGAAUGUCACAAAAUUGUUUUAAGAGCCCUCCUGAUAUAUGUGUUGCCUCUUCAAACGUUGGCACUCAAUUUUGACUUAUUCAGCGGUGAGUGUGCUUUUAUACUCACAAGUAAGGUAGUAUAAUGUGAGAAUUUUAAUAUUCCUAAAGGAAUCGACCUGUGAGAAACAUUUGCAUGAACAGAUUUUAUAUUACACUUAUUGAGAAGAAUCGAAUCCAAACAAAGGAUUUGGGGUAUUUUGCUUCAUUGAUUGGAAUUUUUCAUUUAAUUUAGUAAUAUUAGUCCUUUGGCGGCUUGCCUUUGCAGGUGGAUUCUUUAUCAAAUUUGUGGAUCAAUUGUGAAUGGGCUGUGUAGGUCAAAAAAUAAGGAAGGGUAAAAGUAAAACUAAUACAGAAUCAAAAUUUGUUUUGCGCAUGCGCAAUCCGAUUUUCUUAUUUUUUAAGAUAUUUAGAUGAAAUUUUGUAUGUAGACACCCCGAAUAAACGUAGUUCUAGUGUUCACACAUUCAAA